rnacentral:rRNA from 1 species
GCCUCCUGCCAACACUCAAAGUAUAGGAGGUCCUACCUGCCCAGUGACAAGUUAAACGGCCGCGGUAUUUUGACCGUGCAAAGGUAGCGCAAUCACUUGUCUUUUAAAUGAAGACCCGUAUGAAUGGUGAAACGAGGGCUUAACUGUCUCCCCUUUCAAGUCAAUGAAAUUGAUCUGUCCGUGCAGAAGCGGACAUAUAAAUACAAGACGAGAAGACCCUUUGGAGCUUAAGAUAUAAGAUCAACUAUGUCAAUACAUCAAAAAUAAAGUUAAACUAAAUAGCGCCUGAUCCCCUAUCUUCGGUUGGGGCGACCACGGAAGAAAAUCAAGCUUCCACGUGGACUGGGGCUAUUAUGCCCUAAAACUAAGAAAGACAUUUCUAAGUAACAGAACAUCUGACCAUUCAAGAUCCGGUUAUCAAAACCGAUCAACGGACCAAGUUACCCUAGGGAUAACAGCGCAAUCCCCUUUAAGAGUCCAUAUCGACAAGGGGGUUUACGACCUCGAUGUUGGAUCAGGACAUCCUAAUGGUGCAGCCGCUAUUAAGGGUUCGUUUGUUCAACGAUUAAAGUCCU